UAUUCAGUGUGUAGUGGUUUGUGUGUCAGACUGCAACUCCGGAGACCAGGGUUCAAAUCCCUGCUCAGCCA